GCCUGGGUGGCUCAGUUGGUUGAGCGACCGACUUCCGCUCAGGUCAUGAUCUCGGUGGAGGUUUGUGAGUUCGAGCCCCGCCUCCGGCU
rnacentral:tRNA from 1 species